ACUCCUACGGGAGGCAGCAGUAGGGAAUCUUCCACAAUGGGCGCAAGCCUGAUGGAGCAACACCGCGUGAGUGAAGAAGGGUUUCGGCUCGUAAAGCUCUGUUGUUAAAGAAGAACACGUAUGAGAGUAACUGUUCAUGCGUUGACGGUAUUUAACCAGAAGUCACGGCUAACUACGUGCCAGCAGCCGCGGUAAUACGUAGGUGGCAAGCGUUAUCCGGAUUUAUUGGGACGUAAAGAGAGUGCAGGCGGUUUUCUAAGUCUGAUGUGAAAGCCUUCGGCUUAACCGGAGAAGUGCAUCGGAAACUGGAUAACUUGAGUGCAGAAGAGGGUAGUGGAACUCCAUGUGUAGCGGUGGAAUGCGUAGAUAUAUGGAAGAACACCAGUGGCGAAGCGGCUACCUGGUCUGCAACUGACGCUGAGACUCGAAAGCAUGGGUAGCGAACAGGAUUAGAUACCCUGGUAGGAUAGCG
rnacentral:rRNA from 1 species